ACAAUAAAGAUUAAAAUCAUGAAAACUCUCCCCACUGAGGCCUGUUGGGAGAUUAUGAUCUCGAUGUUGUUGAGGGACACGUUUGUUGUGCCGUAGAGGCUCAUGGGAACUGUAGUUUAACUCUUCUGACUAUGGAAAUACUGAAGGUUUUUAAACUUUCGCUUUGUUUUCUUUCAGUCUGUAAAAUCUAUCUGAGAUUUCAGAUUAAAUAUUUAUUCACACGAAUCAAACUUUGAUUCUAGACGCUUCCGGUUAGUCAUGAAAACUCACAAGUCACGUGACUUUGAAAUAGAAACUGAAACUAACUUUGUUCUCCUUCAGCUCAGACUCCAUUUUGAGGAAAACCUUGUCGUCUUGUUAAUAGAGACUCGCUGAGAUCCAGAAGAUGGGAAACUCAAAUCAAAAGCAGGACAGAGCAGAACCUGCAGGAUCCGUCUGUCCCUCUAUGAGGAGUGACCGGUCCAAAGAUCACAAUCCAGACUUCAGUACUGAACCAGAACCAUCAGAAGAUCGGAACCUCAGACGGAGAGCAGAACCUGCAGGAUCCGUCUGUCCCUCUAUGAGGAGUGACCGGUCCAAGCCAAUUCCUCCAG